GCCCCCAUAGCUUAGCAGGUAGAGCGUGCGGCUGUUAACCGCAAGGUCGCCAGUUCAAGUCUGGCUGGGGGCG
rnacentral:tRNA from 1 species